GAUUUGGUCCUGGGUUCAGGAGGAACGCUGGCGGCGUGCCUUACCCCAUCCAAGUCGAGCGAAUGAAUUUCCUUGGGGAACGGAUUUAGCGGCGGGACGGGUGAGUAACACGUGGGCAACCUGCCUCUUAGAGGGGAAUAGCCUUCCGUAAGGGAGAAUUAAUACCGCCUACGUUUGUAGUACCGCAUGGUACAGCAAUUAAAGGAGCAAUCCGGUAUGAGAUGGGCCCGCGGCGCAUUAGUUAGUUGGUGAGGUAACGGCUCACCAAGGCGACGAUGCGUAGCAGACCUGAGAGGGUGAUCGGCCACAUCGGGAGUGAGACACGCCCCAGACUCCUACGGGAGGCAGCAGUGGGGAAUAUUGCACAAUCGGGGAAACCCUGAUGCAGCAACGCCGCGUGAGUGAUGACGGCCUUCGGGUUGUAAAGCUCUGUCUUCAGGGACGAUAAUGACGGUACUUGAGGAGGAAGCCACGGCUAACUACGUGCCAGCAGCCGCGGUAAUACGUAGGUGGCGAGCGUUGUCCUGAUUUACUGGGCGUAAAGGGAGCGUAGGCGGAUUUUUAAGUGAGAUGUGAAAUACUCGGGCUUAACCUGAGUGGUGCAUUUCAAACUGAAAGUGUAGAGUGCAGGAGAGGAGAAGGGAAUUCCUAGUGUAGCGGUGAAAUGCGUAGAGAUUAGGAAGAACACCAGUGGCGAAGGCGCUUCUCUGGACUGUAACUGACGCUGAGGCUGGAAAGCGUGGGGAGCAACCAGGAUUAGAUACCCUGGUAGUCCUCCCCGCUAACACGAUGAAUACUGAGGUGUAGGGGUUGUCAUGACCUCUGUGCCGCCGCUAACGCA
rnacentral:rRNA from 1 species